rnacentral:rRNA from 1 species
GACGAACGCUGGCGGCGCGCUUAACACAUGCAAGUCGAGCGAGAACCAGGGCUUCGGCCCUGGGGACAGCGGCGAACGGGUGAGUAACACGUGGGUAAUCCACCCUCGGCACCGGAAUAGCCCGGGGAAACCCGGAUUAAUGCCGGAUGGCCCGCCGGCCCUGCGGGGCUGGUGGAAAAGGUAGCUUCGGCCUCCGGCCGAGGACGAGCCCGCGACGGAUUAGCUUGUUGGUGGGGUAACGGCCUACCAAGGCUGCGAUCCGUAGCUGGUCUGAGAGGACGAUAAGCCACACUGGGAAUGAGACACGGCCCAGACUCCUACGGGAGGCAGCAGUGGGGAAUCUUGCGCAAUGGGCGAAAGCCUGACGCAGCGACGCGGCGUGAGGGAAGAAGGCCUUCGGGUUGUAAACCUCUUUCAGGAGGGACGAAGCCACUCGGGUUAAUAGCCCAGAGGGUGACGGUACCUCCAGAAGAAGCCCCGGCUAACUACGUGCCAGCAGCCGCGGUAAUAC